CAGUAGCCGCGGGAAAACGUAGGGUGCAAGCGUUAAUCGGAAUUACUGGGCGUAAAGCGUGCGCAGGCGGUGAUGUAAGACAGAUGUGAAAUCCCCGGGCUCAACCUGGGAACUGCAUUUGUGACUGCAUCGCUGGAGUGCGGCAGAGGGGGAUGGAAUUCCGCGUGUAGCAGUGAAAUGCGUAGAUAUGCGGAGGAACACCGAUGGCGAAGGCAAUCCCCUGGGCCUGCACUGACGCUCAUGCACGAAAGCGUGGGGAGCAAACAGGAUUAGAUACCCCGGUAGUCCCUGUCUCUUAUAC
rnacentral:rRNA from 1 species